UACACUUCAAUCUGGAGAGCAGCAGAUGCGCUGCUACCAUGCAGUCGAACGGUGAAGGAGAGCUUGCUCUCUGGAUCAGUGGCGAACGGGUGAGUAACACGUGAGCAAUCUGCCCCUGACUCUGGGAUAAGCGCUGGAAACGGCGUCUAAUACCGGAUACGAGCUGCGAAGGCAUCUUCAGCAGUUGGAAAGAAUUUCGGUCAGGGAUGAGCUCGCGGCCUAUCAGCUUGUUGGUGAGGUAACGGCUCACCAAGGCGUCGACGGGUAGCCGGCCUGAGAGGGUGACCGGCCACACUGGGACUGAGACACGGCCCAGACUCCUACGGGAGGCAGCAGUGGGGAAUAUUGCACAAUGGGCGCAAGCCUGAUGCAGCAACGCCGCGUGAGGGACGACGGCCUUCGGGCGGAAAACACACGCCAGCAGGGAACAAGCGAAAGAGACGAAAACGGAAGAAAAAGACCGCUAUACCUGCAGCAGCGCGUAUACGUAGGUGCAGCGUAUCCGGACUAUGGCGUAAAGAGCUCUAGCGCUUUGUCGCGUCUGCUGUGAAAACCGAGACUCACAUCGGCCUGCAGUGGGUACGGCAGACUAGAGUGCGGUAGAGGAGAUAGGAAUUCCUGGUGUAGCGGUGGAAUGCGCAGAUAUCAGGAGGAACACCGAUGGCGAAGGCAGAUCUCUGGGCCGUAACUGACGCUGAGGAGCGAAAGGGUGGGGAGCAAACAGGCUUAGAUACCCUGAUAGUCCACCCCGUAAACGUUGGGAACUAGUUGUGGGGUCCAUUCCACGGAUUCCGUGACGCAGCUAACGCAUUAAGUUCCCCGCCUGGAGAGUACGGCCGCAAGGCUAAAACUCAAAGGAAUUGACGGGGACCCGCACAGCGGCGGAGCAUGCGGAUUAAUUCGAUGCACGCGAAGACCUUACCAGGCUUGACAUAUAGAGGAAACGUCUGAAACAGUCGCCCCGCAGUCUCUAUACAGGUGCUGCAUGUGGUCGUCAGCUCGUUCAUGAAUGUGGUUAAGUCCGCAACGAGGCAACCUCGUCCAUGUGCAGACGUAUGGUGAACUAUGAUCUGCGGGUCAACUCAGCAAGUGGAUGACGAAAAAUCAUCAUGCCCCCUAUGUCUUGGGCUUCACGCAUGCUACAAUGGCCGGUACAAAGGGCUGCAAUACCGUGAGGUGGAGCGAAUCCCAAAAAGCCGGUCCCAGUUCGGAUUGAGGUCUGCAACUCGACCUCAUGAAGUCGGAGUCGCUAGUAAUCGCAGAUCAGCAACGCUGCGGUGAAUACGUUCCCGGGUCUUGUACACACCGCCCGUCAAGUCAUGAAAGUCGGUAACACCUGAAGCCGGUGGCCCAACCCUUGUGGAGGGAGCCGUCGAAGGUGGGAUCGGUAAUUAGAAAAGUCGAAUAAGUGCGAGCAACGAAAUAAUCCCAACGUCCCA
rnacentral:rRNA from 1 species